UACGUAGGGGGCAAGCGUUGUCCGGAAUCAUUGGGCGUAAAGCGCGUGUAGGCGGCCCGAUAAGUCCGCUGUGAAAGUCCAGGGCUCAACCCUGGGAUGCCGGUGGAUACUGUCGGGCUCGAGUCCGGAAGAGGAGUGUGGAAUUCCUGGUGUAGCGGUGAAAUGCGCAGAUAUCAGGAGGAACACCAAUGGCGAAGGCAGCACUCUGGGCAUUAACUGACGCUGAGGAGCGAAAGCAUGGGGAGCGAACAGG
rnacentral:rRNA from 1 species